ACCAGACUCCUACGGGAGGCAGCAGUGGGGAAUAUUGCACAAUGGGGGAAACCCUGAUGCAGCAACGCCGCGUGAGUGAGGAAGUAUUUCGGUAUGUAAAGCUCUAUCAGCAGGGAAUAGAAAAGAAGGUACCUGAAAAAGAAGCCCCGGCUAACUACGUGCCAGCAGCCGCGGUAAUACGUAGGGGGCAAGCGUUAUCCGGAUUUACUGGGUGUAAAGGGAGCGUAGACGGUGAUGCAAGUCUGGAGUGAAAGGCGGGGGCCCAACCCCCGGACUGCUCUGGAAACUGUGUAACUUGAGUGCAGGAGAGGUAAGCGGAAUUCCUAGUGUAGCGGUGAAAUGCGUAGAUAUUAGGAGGAACACCAGUGGCGAAGGCGGCUUACGGGACUGUAACUGACGUUGAGGCUCGAAAGCGUGGGGAGCAAACAGGAUUAGAUACCCUAGUAU
rnacentral:rRNA from 1 species